UUUUCUUUUCUUGGUUUUGGAUGCAUUAAGCUGAUUAUUCUCUUUAUGCUGUGUUAGUGGCACAUAACACAUUGAGACCUUUCACUACUCUCCCCUCCCCCUUUUCUUUUUCUUUUUUUUUUUUUUUAACUAAAGAGAUUUCUAAUAGUAAUACAGUACAGACAGAUAUGGGCACUUAUUUUAUUUUCUUUUUUUGUGUGUAUUUUAGAAAGAG
rnacentral:lncRNA from 1 species